GUCUGAUUAGCUUGUUGGUGAGGUAAUGGCUCACCAAGGCUACGAUCAGUAGCUGGUCAGAGAGGAUGGCCAGCCACACUGGGACUGAGACACGGCCCAGACUCCUACAGGAGGCAGCAGUGGGGAAUCUUGCGCAAUGGGCGAAAGCCUGACGCAGCCAUGCCGCGUGGAUGAUGAAGGUCUUAGGAUUGUAAAAUCCUUUCACCGGGGACGAUAAUGACGGUACCCGGAGAAGAAGCCCCGGCUAACUUCGUGCCAGCAGCCGCGGUAAUACGAAGGGGGCUAGCGUUGCUCGGAAUUACUGGGCGUAAAGGGCGCGUAGGCGGACAGUUAAGUUGGGGGUGAAAGCCCGGGGCUCAACCUCGGAAAUGCCUUCAAUACUGGCUGUCUUGAGUACGGGAGAGGUGAGUGGAACUCCGAGUGUAGAGGUGAAAUUCGUAGAUAUUCGGAAGAACACCAGUGGCGAAGGUGACUCACUGGCCCGUUACUGACGCUGAGGCGCGAAAGCGUGGGGAGCAAACAGG
rnacentral:rRNA from 1 species